GUAUUACUCCCGGUACAAGAAAGCUCAGAGAUGAAGGAAUCUUCAUUUGAAUUUCUUAAUUAAAGAAGAGUUUGACCAAGCAAGUUAAGAAUACCCUAGAAGGCAGUUGAUAAAUUUCAAAAGUGUCAAGAAAUAGAACAACAUGCACAAAGGGCUGAAGACGAUCCUUGUCCUGUCUGCCCUCAUCAGCCUUCAGAUGACAAACCAAUGCUGAUAACAUCUUGCUCCAAUGCCAUUUCUGAAUCUGGGCCAACCGAAGAGUCAAGGCUUGUGCUGCAUGGAGUAAGCAGGAAAGAAUAAUCUGGAUCUUGUUGUUGCAAAAAUAAAGAAAUAAAUAAAAGUGACUGGUGGAGAGCAAUUUCUGG
ensembl:lncRNA